AUUGAACGCUGGCGGCAGGCCUAACACAUGCAAGUCGAGCGCGAAAAUUCCUUCGGGGAUGAGUAGAGCGGCGGACGGGUGAGUAACGCGUAGGAAUCUGCCCGGUAGUGGGGGACAACAGUCGGAAACGACUGCUAAUACCGCAUACGCCCUAAGGGGGAAAGCAGGGGAUCUUCGGACCUUGCGCUAUCGGAUGAGCCUGCGUCGGAUUAGCUUGUUGGUGGGGUAAUGGCCUACCAAGGCGACGAUCCGUAGCUGGUCUGAGAGGAUGAUCAGCCGCACUGGGACUGAGACACGGCCCAGACUCCUACGGGAGGCAGCAGUGGGGAAUAUUGGACAAUGGGGGAAACCCUGAUCCAGCCAUGCCGCGUGUGUGAAGAAGGCCUCGGUUGUAAGACACUUCUAGUAGGAGGAAAGGUUAGAGUAGGCGUAAUACCACU
rnacentral:rRNA from 1 species